rnacentral:rRNA from 1 species
CACAGGUGGACUGGUUGAGCAUACCCAGGCGUUUGAGAGAACCACGUUGAAGGAACUAGGCGAAUUGCCCGCGUAACUUCGGGAGAAGCGGGACCCUCGGUCGGGCAACCGGUCGGGGGUGGCACAGACCAGGGGGUGGCGACUGUUUACUAAAAACACAGGGCUCUGCGAACUCGCGAGAGGACGUAUAGGGUCUGACGCCUGCCCGGUGCCGGAAGGUCAAGGGGAGUGGUGCAAGCUACGAACCGAAGCCCCGGUAAACGGCGGCCGUAACAAUAACGGUCCUAAGGUAGCGAAAUUCCUUGUCGGGUAAGUUCCGACCUGCACGAAUGGCGUAACGACUUCCCCACUGUCUCCAACGUGGACUCAGCGAAAUUGAAUUCCCCGUGAAGAUGCGGGGUACCCGCGGUCAGACGGAAAGACCCCGUGCACCUUUACUACAGCUUUGCACUGGUACUAGGCGGGCCAUGUGUAGGAUAGGUGGGAGCCUUUGAAGCUCGGGCGCCAGCUCGGGUGGAGGCAACCUUGAAAUACCACCCUUGGGCCGACUGGUAUCUAACCGCGCACCGUCAACCGGUGUCGGGACCCUGCAUGGCGGGUAGUUUGACUGGGGCGGUCGCCUCCCAAAGAGUAACGGAGGCGCGCGAUGGUGGGCUCAGGCUGGUCGGAAACCAGCCGUCGCGUGCAAGCGCAUAAGCCCGCCUGACUGCAAGACCGACAGGUCGCGCAGAGACGAAAGUCGGCGCUAGUGAUCCGGUGGUCCCGCGUGGAAGGGCCAUCGCUCAACGGAUAAAAGGUACGCCGGGGAUAACAGGCUGAUGACCCCCAAGAGUCCCCAUCGACGGGGUCGUUUGCACCUCGAUGUCGGCUCAUCACAUCCUGGGGCUGAAGCAGGUCCCAAGGGUUCGGCUGUUCGCCGAUUAAAGUGGUACGUGAGCUGGGUUUAGAACGUCGUGAGACAGUUCGGUCCCUAUCUGCCGUGGGUGUACGAGACUUGCGCGGAGCUGUCUUUAGUACGAGAGGACCGAGAUGGACGGACCUCUGGUGGACCGGUUGUCACGCCAGUGGCACAGCCGGGUAGCUAAGUCCGGACGGGAUAACCGCUGAAAGCAUCUAAGCGGGAAACCCACCGCAAAACCAGGUCUCGCCGAGAGCCGUGGAAGACCACCACGUCGAUAGGCCGGAGGUGUAUGCGUGGCAACACGUUCAGCCAACCGGUCCUAAUAGCUCC